ACCUGCAGCCUUGACAAGAGACUGCAAGAUCAACGUUUAGGAGUUCUUAUCUGCACAAUGCAAUCAUAUAGAGGAGGAAAUAAUUCUGGUUUAUUAUUGUUAGUGCAUUUCUAGUGUAUUUUGGUAUGAGCUAUCCACACUGCUGCAGUAGCUGGAGACGCAAGGUGCCUUCCUGUGUUGAAUACAGCUGCAGGUUGCCAAGUAAUGCUGCUUUACAUGUCUGUCAUGAAUUUCUGCAAGUGUGAAGGGACAGUCUCUGCUGAGGAGGCAGUGAUGUGUCGAAUAGGUCUUCAUCCUCCUUGCUCCCAAUUACAAAAUGAAUGCUCUCCACACCAUCGGGGCUUCCCCAAGAGUCCUCAGAUAUAUUUAAAGAGUCUGAUUUAUCAAAGCUAACUCCAGGCAUCUUUAGAUUCCUUUCAGCUGCUUAAAAUGUGCCUUUCCUUAAAAGUGCCUUUUAACCAAAUUACUCUAUUAAAAGGGACUGUUUGUACUAGACCUCCAAAAAAAUCUCUCUAAACAAUUUCCCAAAAUAUUCAAGUAUGUAACUGUGACACCAGGCUCUGUGAAUGUUCCUUUCAUAUGUCCUUGAGAGAGCCCUUUUCCUUUAAUUAAAGGUUAUGUAGUAAUUGAUAUUUAAAUGCAGCAAAGAAUGAAAAUGCCCUUUUUGUUAGAAUAAGCAUGAAAAAUUACUCCAAUGAUCCUGCACUGAGGCAGGGAAAGUAGCAAAUGUGCCUAAUUGGGCUCGCAGCCUUAAGUGUGCUCAGCAGGAUGCAACUAAUAAACCAAACCUCUGGGUCUGAAACGUGUUCAAGUGUUGGCCUGCAGGAAUAACAGUUAUCUCAGGGGCAGUAGACCACUGUCAAAACAGUUUGAGAGUGUGUGUCAUACACCCUCAGACAUAGCUGUGGGUUUUAUUUUUAUGUUUUCAUUGGGUAGAAUUUAUGUGAAAUGAAGAAAUGUCUUUUGACAAUUGGUGUGCAGCAAACAAAUGCGUUUGCUGUUUGCAAGCCAAACGCAUUCAGCCAUGAUUAAUAGCGCUGCAAAAAUGAAUGAGCCAUACGGUGUAGGUGUCAGCUCACUUUUCUGUAUGAGCAGAAAUCAAUAGAGAUAUUUCAGAAACAUUGCACACUGUAUAGUAUAUGGUAUCCACUGUAAUUGGAGACUUCAAGCAGUCAGCAACUCACUUGCUCCAACUUGGCAUGCACAACAGUUUAAUUAUACAGUACACUAAUAACAUAUGCCUUUCUAUAGAGCUGUGUGGUCAUUCAGAAUUCAUCCUGUAAUACUAAUGAGGAUUUAUGCACCGUGCUUCAAGACGACGCAACUGAAUUCUCCUACUUAAGUCAAGAGUGUGACACUCAGUUUGAUUGAUCUUGGAUCACUUGCAACGAGUAAAAGUUAAGGUUUGCUGGAGUGCUGACCUAGUCACAUUAGGGCUGGGUGAUAAAACGAUAAAGAUAAUUAUUGUGAUAUACAUUUUCCUCGGUAGAAAUAUAAGACAUGGUCGAUACAAUGUUGAUAGAACUCAUUUCAUCCAGGUUUUGACAGACAACACGAACAGAUAAUAGUUUAUAAAUUCAUGAUGAGCAUCUACUGUGUAUUUAAACAUAACACUUGAACGGUUACGGUUAUGAGCUGCAUCUUCACUGACUUCAAACACUGAGUACAUUUAUUUGCUUUUAACGAAAAGCCAAUUGCACUGUAUAAAAUGCCAAAUGUUAAAGGCCACAGUUAAGAUUGCACUGACAAAUAAAACUCCAUAGCAUCGCCUGACUCUACCUGCAGCUCCCUGGCAGCUGUUCUCAUCUCACGCAGGCAGUUGCCAGCGCUUAUGUGAUUCUGAUCAACAGUAGUUGUUUUGCUUGGAGCAGCAGGGACAGAAAUGAGUGUGCACAUCCUUAAUUCAGAGCAGAUGGAAUCUAAAUGGAUGUGCCAUGGACUGUACGAGGUCACAUUGAAAGACUCAAUUGGAGCGUUUGGGUUAUUAAAUUUGCAGACUCCUCUGAGCAUCACAACCAGCCAGGUGGGACUACCGUAUUUGUGUUUCAGCAAAUCACACUACAUGCAGUUACUAUAGAGAAACUGUGCAAUUGGAAACUAGAAGUUAUGUAUUUCUAAUGAAGUAUCCAUGUAUAUGCCUCCCCAACCAUGAUAACUUGGUGAUUACAGCAGCCAAGUGAGAACUGUUAUAUAUGUAAAGUAUAUAUGUUCUUGGGUUGAUAAUUGAUUACUGCAGUGGGCCUGUAUCACAUACACACAUGUAAUGUUUUAAUAUGAGUAUAAUGAUGAAUUUGGCUCAGUGCGUCGAAGCCCCCACGUCUAAUUUCUUCUUUCUAAAUUCAAUCAUGAAGCUGAUCCACCACUAAACUUCAU